CCAAAUUUUUUCUUCUUUCUCUCUCUUCCUCUGUUCUUCUUCUUCACACAUAUGUACCACCUUCUUUUUCUUCUUCUCUUCUAAAGACAAACACAUCUCCAUCUAUUUUUAUAAAUGCAUCUUCGUUACUUUCACAACUAAGAGAGACAAAAGAUAAACACCAAAAAUAAGUUAAAAACAGAAAAAUAGAAAGAUGGAAUCAGAAUCUAUCGGCGGCUGAAUGUGAUAACGUGGUUUCCGACGAAGGUUAAGAAGGAACAAGAUGAAGACAACAUUAGCACUUCCAGUGAAGGAAGCUGGUGGAGUUGGACUAAUUUACGCACAUUGCAUGAAGACAGACUCGGCGAAUGUGAUAUACUUCCAUGUAUUAAAAGUAUAAAUCCAAGAAAGAUUUUACAAUCAAAUUAUUCAAUAUUUCAUUGGUUUCCAUUUUUUUCCAUUUGAUUUUGUUAAACUAACCGAUAUAACAUUUCAGUAUAUCAUUUUACCAUCACCUUAUUCAAUUUUUCUUUCAUGAAAUUGCAUCCAAUAUUGAAUUGUUCUUUGGAUGCAGAUAUAAUAUUGAAACAAAGAAAGAACAUGUCUUUCCAAGCUUUCUACAUAAAGAACUAUCAUGGUUCCGCAAAGCUCAGCUUCUAUAUGCCCUAAACAAUUUUAUACUGAACAACAUCCCAUAAAAUGGACACGAAAUGGCAUUUCAACAAUUUGUUGGAUUUAAUGACAUUGGAUUCUAUAAAGAGGAUACUUUUGUUGCAGCAGGUAAGUAACAUUUUAUGGAUACAACAGUAGUUACCUUUUCACUUUAAUAUAUAAAUGUUGGUGUAGUAUCAUCCUGAUGUAGUGCAGAUUUGACAACUUAUGUCGGCAUUGUUAGCUGGAGUUACGGUUUCGAAGUGCGGGGCCUUUGAAUUGUGCAGUGGGCUGUUGGUUGUGGGAUGUUUGGUAAGAAUACAGUGUUGGAUUCAUGGUUUUGCUAUUGGUUUGAGCUGAAUUUUAUGUGAUGGCAUUUGGUUUGUGAUUCUUGAGUUUUGGCUUAUGCAGGUAACAUGUUCGGUGUGUGACUGUUAGCUACAUUUAUUUUGAGAAACCUCAUAGCAUGCUUUGGACUAAAAAUGUUCACGGCUGAAUCGAUUCUUUUGUAUUGGAUGCAGGCUUAUGAUUGGGUUGCAGGUAGUUGAACCCAAGUUGGUGCGGAAAUGCCAGGAAUUGGUGGAAAAUGUGUAUGUAUGGACUUAGUCAUGGAGUAAAAGGAGGCUUUGACCCUUGAGUUUUUGCUUAUUGGUGAACUACCUGAAUAGGUUCUUACCGGCUUAUCAAUUACCAGUAAAAUAGAAUAUUAAUAAGUUUGUUUCAGAUGAUUUACAUGGUUUUUGUUUGAUAAUAUUUCUGAAACAUUUGAUCAAAGAGGUUGAGUUAUCAGAUUAGGUGGAUUUUUCGAGUUCAGAGUUUGCAUCCAGUAUAAAUAGAGCUUAAUAAUAUUUUGUGGGUAGGAUAUAAAUAUGUCAUUGAUUAUUUAGAUGUGUUGGUCUGGUGUAGGAAUAUAACAAUAAAGUGUAUUUUUCAACCAUUUAAUUUCAUUGAA